AGCAGCCGCGGUAAUUCCAGCUCCAAUAGCGUAUAUUAAAGUUGUUGCAGUUAAAAAGCUCGUAGUUGAAUUUCGGGAUCAAUAUAUCGGUCGUGCCUUGGUACGUACUGGUAUCAUUGGUUUCUCCUUUCUGACGAACCAUGAUGUCAUUAAUUUGGUGUUAUGGGAAGUUAGGACUGUUACUUUGAAAAAAUUAGAGUGUUUAAAGCAGGCUUUAGCUUGAAUAUAUUAGCAUGGAAUAAUGAAAUAGGACGUUCGAACCUAUUUUGUUGGUUUCUAGGAUCAACGUAAUGAUUAAUAGGGAUAGUUGGGGGCAUUAGUAUUCAAUUGUCAGAGGUGAAAUUCUUGGAUUUAUUGAAGACUAACUACUGCGAAAGCAUUUGCCAAGGAUGUUUUCAUUAAUCAAGAACGAAAGUUAGGGGAUCGAAGACGAUCAGAUACCGUCGUAGUCUUAACCAUAAACUAUAGCCGACUAGGGAUCGGAUGAUGCUAAUUUUUAAUGACUCAUUCGGCGCCUUAA
rnacentral:rRNA from 1 species